UAUAAGAUAAACUUGUCUCUUUCUCUCUAAGCAAGAGACGUCUCACUGCCUCUCUCUCUCGGCCGUUUUCUGUGUUCUUCUUGUUCUACCCUUUCUGCCUCUUUGUGACUACUACCUUAGUGGUGAUAUUAUAUGAGAUUUCUUGCAUUGUGGUCUCCUAAGUGAAAUAUCUCAUUGGCAACUGGAAGUGGAAGCUUGGCAUUGUCUUGGGUCGUUGUUGUCAGCUUGUGGUUCUGGAAGUGGGUAAAAACUAAGCCUGAGUUUUCUUUGGUGCUCAAUACACAUUCUAUAGAUGUGAAAUCAAAUUCAUCUACCAUUCAACAAAUUGCUCGUGCGCUUAGCUCACAAUUUGGUCUUAUAGAUAUAGGUCGUCUCAAUUAUUUUUUGGGCAUUGAAGUGAAAUAUUUUAAUGGUGGCAUUUUUCUAUCAUGGACAAAAUAUACAAAGGAUUUAUUGGCAAAAGCUCACAUCCAGAACUGCUCUCUUAUUUCCACUCCCAUGGCUAUCGAAGUGAAGCCCACUCUCCCUAAAAAAAUGAUCUUGUUAAAGCCACUGAAUUUAGAGCUCUUGUUGGCAGCCUCCAAUACCAUACUUUCUUUCACUCAUCCAAACACACACACACACACUAUCAAUCGUGUUUGUUAGAACUUUCAAACACCAAAUUCUUAUAAUCUUCAAGAUUUGUUUGGUAUCUCAGAGGGACUGCACAUAUUGGCACUUGUUAUCUCACUUAAUGCUCUCCUCCCGCCUUCUAUGCCUUUUCGAAUUCUGAUUUGACUGGUUGUCCACUCACUCAUUGCAGCACAACUGGCUACUCUGUUCAUCUAGGUGCAAACUACAUUUCUUGAUCUCGAAGAAACAAGCUACUGUUGCUCAUUCUAGUGCCGAACUCAAGUACUGAUCCUUAGCUUCUACUGUUGCCGAACUUACUAGGAUUUCAUUUUUACUUCUUCAUGUAGUGUCCUCUCUGACACACUCUCCUUUGCUGUUGUGUGAUAACAAAAGUGCUCUUCAAAUUACUAAGGAUUCCGUGUAUCAUGCCUAUUCCAAGCAUCAGCAUCAUAUAUCAAGGACUUUUACAACAGCUUGGUCACACGAAUUUUCUUCUACAUAAAAUAGUUUAUACGCUUGUUGAAUAGAAGUUUGAUCGUCUUCUGAUUGCAUUUUCGUCCCUGAAUUUUGAAAUAGAGAGCGGCGAAGACCUUGCCAUCUUCGUGUACAUCAAAAGGGAAACCCAGAUUGGUAAGAGCUAUUUUCUUUUCUAGAUUAAAUGACUUUUGCAUUGUGACAUGACUUGUCUCAUGCUGAUAUCACUCAAACUGUUCAGUGUAUUUUCCCCAAAACAUUGUGCAACAAAUCCUAACGCCGCUUUUCAUUAUAAACUCUUGCCUAUGAUUCAUGGCAGGUUAGUUUAUCGCUAU
rnacentral:lncRNA from 1 species